CGCGGCCUAUCAGCUUGUUGGUGGGGUAAUGGCCUACCAAGGCGACGACGGGUAGCCGGCCUGAGAGGGUGACCGGCCACACUGGGACUGAGACACGGCCCAGACUCCUACGGGAGGCAGCAGUGGGGAAUAUUGCGCAAUGGGCGAAAGCCUGACGCAGCGACGCCGCGUGAGGGAUGACGGCCUUCGGGUUGUAAACCUCUUUCAGUAGGGACGAAGCGAAAGUGACGGUACCUACAGAAGAAGCACCGGCCAACUACGUGCCAGCAGCCGCGGUAAUGCGUAGGAUGCAAGCGUUGUCCGGAAUUAUUGGGCGUAAAGAGCUCGUAGGCGGUCUGUCGCGUCGGCUGUGAGAACCCGAGGCUCAACCUCGGGCCUGCAGUCGAUACGGGCAAACUAGAGUACUGCAGGGGAGACUGGAAUUCCUGGUGUAGCGGUGAAAUGCGCAGAUAUCAGGAGGAACACCGGUGGCGAAGGCGGGUCUCUGGGCAGUAACUGACGCUGAGGAGCGAAAGCGUGGGGAGCGAACAGGAUUAGAUACCCUGGUAGUCCACGCCGUAAACGUUGGGCGCUAGGUGUGGGGGCCAUUCCACGGUCUCCGUGCCGCAGCUAACGCAUUAAGCGCCCCGCCUGGGGAGUACGG
rnacentral:rRNA from 1 species